rnacentral:rRNA from 1 species
UGUGUAGGCGGCGUUGUAAGUAAGGUGUGAAAUCCUACGGCUUAACCGUAGAAUUGCAUCUUAUACUGCAAUGCUUGAGUGCUGGAGAGGAUAGCGGAAUUCUAGGUGUAGCGGUGAAAUGCAUAGAUAUCUAGGAGAACGCCGGUGACGAAGGUGGCUAUCUGGCCGGCUACUGACGCUGAAACACGAAAGCUAGGGGAGCGAACAGGAUUAGAUACCCUGGUAGUCC